UACAGAGGCCUCAAGCGUUGUUCGGGUUCAUUGGGCGUAAAGGGUGCGUAGGCGGCGCGGUAAGUCGGAUGUGAAAUCUUGGAGCUUAACUCCGAAACUGCAUUCGAUACUGCGGUGCUUGAGGACUGGAGAGGAGACUGGAAUUCAUGGUGUAGCAGUGAAAUGCGCAGAUAUCAGGAGGAACACCGGUGGCGAAGGCGGGUCUCUGGGCCGUAACUGACGCUGAGGAGCGAAAGCAUGGGGAGCGAACAGG
rnacentral:rRNA from 1 species